CUUGCUGCUAAGGAAUCAGGAGACAGGUCAAAAGAUCAGAUAAUACUAACAAAGUUCAUAUAUAAAUAUUGGAUUAGUUGUAUUAGAGAAUAUUAUUGUACCAAGAAGCUUUCAAGAUUAUGUCGGUGCUGUCUUCUUCUUCUUAUUCUUCUUUUUAAGACCCCCUAAUACAUGGUUGUAUUUGCAUGUUUUCACAUCAUCCAUUACAGGGUUCAAAGCAAGUACAAUGAGAUUUUCAAGACUGGCUUUCUUACUCACUUUGGCUUUCAUUUACUAUUUGAUAUUUGUUGCUCAAGGGAAAGCAGACACCAAUGAAUUGCUGGUGGGCUCUGCAGGGACUUCUGUCAAUGAGGGAAGAGCUGAGUGUAGCAAGGAUGCGGUUGAGUGCAAAGAAGGAAAUGGUGGGUCAGAAGAGAAUGCUUAUGAGAAUGAGGAUUAUAUCUACACCAACUCUCUUCCUUAGAUGAUACACCUCCUUGUAAUGUAAAUUUCUUUUUCCUUGCUCAAGUAAUGUAAAUUUGCAUUCAAUGUACGUAUCAGUUGGUAGCGUGCACUAAAUAAUUUCUCUUUUUGGUAGAGCAAGACGUACUUUUUUUUUAUUGAGCAAUACCGUCAACCAAGUAAG